rnacentral:lncRNA from 1 species
CUGAAACUGUGUUUCUAACUACCUUUAGAAACUUUAAAUACUGCCAACACUGGCGCUAGGGUCUUCCCUGAGGCUUUUUCAUUCUCUUUAGCAUCCUUAAUACAUAUUUAAAGAACACUCUUUUAACCUUUCUCUUUAGCAGUUCCAUUCCGGAUGCUUCGCUCCUGAAUUGAAUAACUCGUCUAGGACAACCUUUCCGUCUGUGAGCAUUUGUAAUAGAACGUUUUCCAAGCAACACCAAUGCCUGCGUCCUUCGGUGACAAAGGGCCUGGAUGCAGUCUGGGGACAUAUCAAAUGAAGGUGCGUGCAAGUGACACUAAAGCUCCAGGACGUGAUGCAGAUGUCCGCAUAACUGGCUGGGACAAAGAGCGCAUCUGAGCCUCUGCAACUCUCUCAUCUCAG